rnacentral:rRNA from 1 species
UAGGGAAUCUUCCACAAUGGACGCAAGUCUGAUGGAGCAACGCCGCGUGAGUGAAGAAGGUUUUCGGACCGUAAAGCUCUGUUGUUGGUGAAGAAGGAUAGAGGUAGUAACUGGCCUUUAUUUGACGGUAAUCAACCAGAAAGUCACGGCUAACUACGUGCCAGCAGCCGCGGUAAUACGUAGGUGGCAAGCGUUGUCCGGAUUUAUUGGGCGUAAAGCGAGCGCAGGCGGAAGAAUAAGUCUGAUGUGAAAGCCCUCGGCUUAACCGAGGAAUUGCAUCGGAAACUGUUUUCUUGAGUGCAGAAGAGGAGAGUAGAACUCCAUGUGUAGCGGUGGAAUGCGUAGAUAUAUGGAAGAAUACCAGUGGCGAAGGCGGCUCUCUGGUCUGCAACUGACGCUGAGGCUCGAAAGCAUGGGUAGCGAACAGGAUUAGAUACCCUUGGUAGUCCAUGCCGUAAACGAUGAGUGCU